rnacentral:rRNA from 1 species
UACGAAGGGGGCUAGCGUUGCUCGGAAUUACUGGGCGUAAAGGGAGCGUAGGCGGAUAGUUCAGUCAGAGGUGAAAGCCCCGGGCUCAACCUGGGAAUGGCAUUUGAUACUCUGAGGCUGGAGUACGGGAGAGGAGAGUGGAAUUCCCAGUGUAGAGGUGAAAUUCGUAGAUAUUGGGAAGAACACCGGUGGCGAAGGCGGCUCUCUGGACCGUAACUGACGCUGAGGCGCGAAAGCGUGGGGAGCAAACAGG